UACAGAGGUCUCAAGCGUUGUUCGGAUUCAUUGGGCGUAAAGGGUGCGUAGGCGGCCCUGUAAGUCAGUGGUGAAAUACUCUAGCUUAACUAGAGGGGUGCCAAUGAUACUGCAGGGCUUGAGUACAGAUGAGGUAGGCGGAAUUGACGGUGUAGCGGUGAAAUGCAUAGAUAUCGUCAAGAACACCUAUAGCGAAGGCAGCUUACUGGGCUGUAACUGACGCUGAGGCACGAAAGUGUGGGGAUCAAACAGG
rnacentral:rRNA from 1 species